CAGCCGCCGCGGUAAUACGUAGGGUGCAAGCGUUAAUCGGAAUUACUGGGCGUAAAGCGUGCGCAGGCGGUUUUGUAAGACAGAGGUGAAAUCCCCGGGCUCAACCUGGGAACUGCCUUUGUGACUGCAAGGCUAGAGUACGGCAGAGGGGGAUGGAAUUCCGCGUGUAGCAGUGAAAUGCGUAGAUAUGCGGAGGAACACCGAUGGCGAAGGCAAUCCCCUGGGCCUGUACUGACGCUCAUGCACGAAAGCGUGGGGAGCAAACAGGAUUAGAUACCCCCGUAGUCCCUGUCUCUUAUAA
rnacentral:rRNA from 1 species